AUUGAACGCUGGCGGCAGGCCUAACACAUGCAAGUCGAGCGGACGAAGGGAGCUUGCGCCUGGAUUCAGCUGCCGACGGGCGGGUAAUGCCUAGGAAUCUGCCCGGUAGUGGGGGAUAACGUCAGGACACGGGCCCUAAUCCCGCACACGUCCUGAGGGAGAAAGUGGGGGUUCUUCGGACCUCACCCUACUAGCUGAGCCUAGGUCGGAUUGGCUCGUUGGAUGGGUAAGGCCCUACCAUGGCGACGAUCCGUGACUGGUUUGAGUGGAUGAUCAGUGAACCUGAAACUGAGACACGGUCCAGACUCCUACGGGAGGCAGCAGUGGGGAAUAUUGGACAAUGGGCGAAAGCCUGCUCCAGCAAGGCGGCGUGGGUGAAGAAGGUCUUCGGAUUGUAAAGCACUUUAAGUGGGGAGAAAGGGCAGUAAGUUAAUACCUUGCUGUUUGGACGUUACCAACAGAAUAAGCACCGCCUAACUUCGG
rnacentral:rRNA from 1 species